CCUACGGGGGGCUGCAGUAAGGAAUAUUGGUCAAUGGACGAAAGUCUGAACCAGCCAUCCCGCGUGCAGGAUGAAAGCCCUAUGGGUUGUAAACUGCUUUUAGCAGAGAAGAACAGCUUUCAUUAAUGAGAGUCUGACGGUAUCUGCAGAAUAAGCACCGGCUAACUCCGUGCCAGCAGCCGCGGUAAUACGGAGGGUGCGAGCGUUAUCCGGAAUUAAUGGGUUUUAGGGGUGCUAAGAAGGAGGUUUAGAAAUCUUGUCGCUUAACGAUAAAAUUGCCAAUGAUACGGGUACUAUUGAAUUGGGUUGAGGUUAGCGGAAUGUGACAUGUAGCGGUGAAAUGCAUAGAUAUGUCAUGGAACACCAAUUGCGAAGGCAGCUAACUGGGCCUUGAUUGACGCUGAGGCACGAAAGCGUGGGUAGCGAACAGGAUUAGAUACCCUUGUAGUC
rnacentral:rRNA from 1 species